UCACGUGACGGGCCUCGGCG
rnacentral:miRNA from 1 species